CACAACUUUUUAGCAUAAAUCCAACGAUAUGGAGAAAUGUUUUGUUGAUUUCACGUUGAUUUCACGUCAGUUUAACAUCUGAAACCAAAUCAAAACUAGACGUUUGAACUGAUGUCUGUCCCCAGUGGGUAGGGUCCAGAGUUUUCUCUGGGCACAUCUUUGAGUAAAACUCCAGUCACUACUCAUCACUGCACAAUAACAAACCCUACGGUAGGCCAAACAUGAUGUGAGACAGUCGUCUCUGGUAACAGACUGUAGCUGGCCAGCGCACGCAAGAUUUGGUUCUGGGUUCUGAGAAUGGAGCCAGCCAAGACUUUCCCUGUGUUACUGAGCAUCAUCACAAACCCAGGGUCGUGUGCCAACAUGAUUCAGUGACUGUUGUUUGAGAACACUGUAUACUGAGUGUACAAAACAUUAGGAACACUUUAUACUGAGCGUACAAAACAUUAGGAACACUUUAUACUGAGCGUACAAAACAUUAGGAACACUUUAUACUGAGCGUACAAAACAUUAGGAACACUUUAUACUGAGCGUACAAAACAUUAGGAACACUUUAUACUGAGCGUACAAAACAUUAGGAACACUUUAUACUGAGCGUACAAAACAUUAGGAACACUUUAUACUGAGUGUACAAAACAUUAGGAACACUUUAUACUGAGCGUACAAAACAUUAGGAACACUUUAUACUGAGCAUACAAAACAUUAGGAACACUUUAUACUGAGUGUACAAAACAUUAGGAACACUUUAUACUGAGUGUACAAAACAUUAGGAACACUUUAUACUGAGUGUACAAAACAUUAGGAACACUUUAUACUGAGUGUACAAAACAUUAGGAACACUUUAUACUGAGUGUACAAAACAUUAGGAAUUCUUUGUACUGAGCAUUCAAAACAUUAGGAACACUAUGAUGAGCGUACAAAACAUUAAGAGUUUCGUCAGAACAUGGACUCUACAAGGUGUUGAAAGCGUUCCACAGGGAUGCUGGCCCAUGUUGACUCUACAAGGUGUCUAAAGCGUUCCACAGGGAUGCUGGCCCAUGUUGACUCUACAAGGUGUCGAAAGCGUUCCACGGGGAUGCUGGUCCAUGUUGACUCUACAAGGUGUAGAAAGCGUUCCACAGGGAUGCUGGUCCAUGUUGACUCUACAAGGUGUAGAAAGCGUUCCACAGGGAUGCUGGUCCAUGUUGACUCUACAAGGUGUCUAAAGCGUUCCACAGGGAUGCUGGUCCAUGUUGACUCUACAAGGUGUCUAAAGCGUUCCACAGGGAUGCUGGUCCAUGUUGACUCUACAAGGUGUCUAAAGCGUUCCACAGGGAUGCUGGUCCAUGUUGACUCUACAAGGUGUCUAAAGCGUUCCACAGGGAUGCUGGCCCAUGUUGACUCAACAAGGUGUCUAAAGCGUUCCACAGGGAUGCUGGUCCAUGUUGACUCUACAAGGUGUUGAAAGCGUUCCACAGGGAUGCUGGCCCAUGUUGACUCUACAAGGUGUUGAAAGGGUUCCACAGGGAUGCUGGCCCAUGUUGACUCUACAAGGUGUCUAAAGCGUUCCACAGGGAUGCUGGUCCAUGUUGACUCUACAAGGUGUUGAAAGCGUUCCACAGGGAUGCUGGCCCAUGUUGACUCUACAAGGUGUUGAAAGCGUUCCACAGGGAUGCUGGCCCAUGUUGACUCCAAUGCUUCCUACAGUUGUGUCAAGUUGUCUGGAUGUCCUUUGGGUGGUGGACCGUUCUUGAUACACACAGGAAACUGUUGAGCGUGAAAAACCCAGCAGCUUUGCAGUUCUUGACACAAACUGGUGCGUCUGGCAUCUACUACCAAACCUCGCUCUUAAAUCUUCUGUCUUGCCCGUUCACCCUCUGAAUGGCACAGAUACACAAUCCAUGUCUCACUUGUCUCCAGGCUUAAAUCCUUCUUUACCCUUUACCCCUUCAUCUACACUGAUUUAAUGUGGAUUUAACAAGUGACAUCAAUAAGGGAUCAUAGCUUCCACCUGGAUUCACCUGGUCAGUCAGUCUAUGUCUACGGAAAGAGCAGGUGUUCUUAAUGUUUUGUCCGCUCCGUGUAUGUUUAUAAAUAGCGUUCCCCUGAGGCGACGUGGAUGGAACUAGUCAUAUUUCAGUGAGGGUUUAUAACCAAGUGAAAGGACAUAAAGUUUAACAAUACCAUAUGCACAUUGUAAGAAUGCCGUCAUAGUUAUAUUUGAAGAGUGAGAGGGUUCAGUCUGUUUUAUGCGUUUCUUCUUCGUUUCUUCCACACUAUAUGUGGUGACAUCGUACAAAUGGUUUGCCGACAGAUCUAUCGCCUCAUAUAAGUAUUUUUUUAUUUAAAUUUGGAGUGAUAUUAAUAUUCUUGUUUGUUUUUGUAAUGUUGUUUAUUAAUAAAAAAUAAUAAUAAAAUGU